CUGACCUUCGGCUCGAGACCACGCAAGAGUGAACGACACUGCGCAUGCGCAGAGUGUUUCCACUGACGCUAUCUCGAACAGGAAUAGCGUGAGUCUGCGACGUCAGUGCCACAUGGCAAGACCGGCUUCUCGCCAAAAUAGUGACGAUGGAGACCACCACACAGCGAUGUUGGGGGUUACAUGUAGUCCUGCGACCUGACGCGACUGAGUCCUCAAGAAAGGACAACAGCUGCUCUCUCUGCUGCAAAGAUCUACCAAGCAAUGACACAUGAUACGCACAUCAUGGUCACUGUGGACAGGUUCAGAGAGCUGCGAAACCAGAUUCUCCACUGUUGGGGCCAUUUUGCUGAGGGCUGAUAACCACGACCGGAGUUACAGCAACGACAAUCUAUCUACUUCCAUUCAGAGCUGCCUCGGGAAAAUACCAGUUACAAUGAAGAUAUUAAUAUUUUCAAUGAAAAAUACCAAUAAAAACUUCAAUGUAUACUUUA